rnacentral:rRNA from 1 species
AGAGUUUGAUCCUGGCUCAGGAUAAACGCUGGCGGCGUGCCUAACACAUGCAAGUCGAACGCACUACGCAAGUAGUGAGUGGCGGACGGGUGAGUAACACGUGGGGACCUACCCUUCGGUGAGGAAUACCGGCGAGAAAUCGUCGACAAGACCGCAUAGGCUCGGCUCACACCGAGCAAAGCUUCGCGAGAGGCGCCGGA